GGGGACUCUCCGGAUGGGAGACUGGACGCUUCGCCGAGGGUGGGCUAGGAACGCCGAGAGUCAGCCCCAGGGAGCGCCAGGGAACUGCACCUGUCACCGAAGGGCGGGACGGGCGGCUCCGGGACAGGAAGGUCCCGACCGGGUGAGGCGAGGCAGGCAGCGGAGGAUGCUCCGGGGACAGCGAUGCCCGGACUGGAAUGCAGGGGCUGCCUUGGAGCCAGGAUGCAUGGGGGGAGGCCUUUACCCAAGGCCACAACAACAGCAGGAAUCCCGAGUAAGACACCACCUUGACGGCAGGGAAGGCUGGAUCUUUUCACAGGGCAGAACUGAUUUGAUGAGGUGAACAGUAAGGUGAGCAGAGGCGGGACGGGGUUCCUCCACCCACCAUCACUGUUUCCCCAGUGAGGUAGCUGGCAUCUUCAGAGCACAGGAAAGACACGAUGCCAAGAGAAUCCUCUGGCUCGCCUAACCUGGGGAAUAGGGGAAGCAAGGAAGGGAGUAAAAAUCAAACAGGUCUGCCUCCCUCACCUGGGACACGGGGAAUGAAAUUUGCUUAAUCAAGAAUUAUCAGAUAACUUUUCAGGAUCAGUGUACAAACUUUCCGCCUAUCAAAUAGGGUUACCA
rnacentral:lncRNA from 1 species